AAAACAAAAACAGCAUGUAUCAGCUAUACCUAAAGGAACAAAUGUUUAAUUCUAGAGGCUGCUUUAAGGUAAGACAAUGACUUAAAACGCGAGCAUUCAAAGUUAUUUGAUUUUCAUUGUAACAAUCUUACAAAAUAUAUUUUUACCAAGUCGGCCCACGCUGUCAAUGUGGUCGCCAUUUUGAAAAAUAAUACCAGAUUUUCUGAAAAUAGCUAAUUUUCAAAUCAAUUUGGAAGGGAC
rnacentral:lncRNA from 1 species